rnacentral:lncRNA from 1 species
GGUGUGGAGAUUGCUAAUUUUUUUUACUUUUAGGAUUGCAUAAUCGUUGAUCCAUUACUCAAUUGGUUUUAUGUGAUUAAAGUCUCAGUUCGCAAACCAUCGUUGAAGCUAUUGAAGUUUUAGUUGAAGACGAUGAUGGUUGUAAUGGCUGGUUGAUAACAGAGGAUGUUAAAGUGGUCGGGCAAAUCAAUAUUCAUUAAAACAAGAUUUGAGUGGUGCAGCAGACUGAGGAUAUGAAAGUGUUUUGGUCAUGAUUUGAUGUGUAUACGUAUAUGUACAUUGUAGUAAUUUUAAUUGUUUGGAACAUGUUUGUUGUGUUUGUUGUUUGGUUUUGGGUGUUGAUUGGGACUAUAUAA